UGUUUUGAAUGUGAACAGAUACACUUCAAAAGGCUGAUCGCGUUCUCAGAUCAGCUGCAAACGAGGGUCAAAAUUGUAGUUCAGAGCGAUGUCCAUUGAGGCAUUUCACCUGAUUUCGAAGUUCAUACAUGGUAGUCAUGGGAAGUUGGAUAGAAAUAAAUAAUUAUGUAUGCACUCUUAAUUACUCCAUAGACAAAGACGCCGCUUUUUUCGACUUUUUCUGUGACCAAUUUUGAGCAGAAUCACCAUUUUGAUCGUCUUCGAUUUGGCAUGGAAGACUUUCAUGAAUGCUAUUGUAACUUGGCCUAUUGAGGGCUAGGAUAGUCCCUAAACAAAAUCUGGAAGGCGUUCCACAAGAGAUUUUUCCGUCAUGUUGCAGCAGAGCCACUUUUCUCAAUUUUGCGUCGUCCAGAAUUUAUGAUUUUUGGAUGCCAAAAUACUUGAUGGCGUGAGAACCAAAAAAGAACUACUGGACACCGCCCAGACCUCAGGAGUCAGGAUUAUGCCGUCUUCUGAACAUUGUCGCAUGCGUUCCUUUAGAGCAUGCUGGCUGCUCUCAUGUUUUCCUUCCUGAUUAUGGACCUCAAGUGUGGAUCAACUGGUCAAAGAAAAGAAGGAACGAUCGUCAUGGUGUACUCUCAGGCCAAGGAUAUGCCUUGUGAAACGUGCCAUAUGCAGUUACUAGAGUGGUCUCGUUCUUUGCAAGCUCUUCGGUCACAGGCAGUACUGUCACAUCCAAUGCAGAGCUGAACUGGUUAAGAGUAUGUGCACACCCAUUAUGUGCUUUGCGGUGGAAUGUGGUCCACCGUUUCGAACACAGUGUUCGCUGACCAUUUACAGCUCCUUUGCAGUGGAUCGUGUGAGUUUGGUCUGGUGGGAUUCGUAGCCAUGUAUGUGGCAUACACAAGCCACUGGAGACAGAUUUCACAAAGUGUCUCUGUUUUGGUUGAGGUUUUCCCAAUCAUAUUCUGUGCACAUAUCCAAGUACCUAUCGAGUAUCAUGGUCAUGGUCACUACAUACAGACCCAUGUCGCUCUCGAAUAUGGACAACAGUCUUCUGUUUGAUAGCCAAGCCUGGUCCAAUUUCUCUGUUUUUCCUUGCGGUUAGCUUUCGCCUCUGACCAUCGUUAACCAUCUCAUUGUUGCGUCGUCCAUGACGUGGCUGGCAUCGGAGUUGGACGCUGCCCUGCCAUCCACUGGCAUAGUGUUGAACCCAGCUGACUUGUAUGUCACAUACUAGCUGGAAUUUUGUUCAGUUUCAGUCUUUUACAUGUAUGUGCAUGUACAUGCAUGUUCCUAUCCUACUUGUAGACCCUUCUUCUUUCUCUCACGAUUGCUGUGAUGUCCCUGCCAUCGAUCGAAGAAGCUUGCCGUCCUUUCAUCGUCUUCUGGCACUGUUUUACUUCUUAAUGUCCAGAUUCUCCGUGUUUCCAUUUCACCACGUCACCAACCAGAGAUGUCUAUGGCAGACUAAGCAUCUUGAGGAUCACCCGCCGCGCCGGCUCACUGCCACUGUACUGGUGAGUGUUGUCUCGACCACUGUUGGAACUGUAAAGAAGUACCACUGCCAUAGACAUCUCUUCGUUGCUGACGUGGUGAAAAAACUGAAAUGGUGGAACACCGGGAAUCUCGACAUCAGGAAAUAAAACUACAAGACUGUCAAGAGCGCCAGUAGAUGAUGAAGGACGGCACAAGCAAGCUUCUUCGAUGGGACAUUAUCCCAAUGUACAGCACACUCGUACUCGAUGGAGAAGCUUCUCUACAUACCGGUUCAUCCCAAGAAGGCUUGGCUUAGAUCAGGAACCGAGCUAAAUAAGGGUCAGGUCAAAGGUCAAGGGUUCAUAUAGCCUGAUGUGCCAAAUAGAUAAUAGUGAUCCCAGAUAGCACCUUCGGUUAAGUCUUGGGAUUGCCGAGCUCGGGAGCUACUUGUAGGUCGUGGGUUCGAGUCUCGUCGGCGCCACACAAGUUCUGGUUUCAUUUAUGGCUUAGGAUCCGUACCAGUUCCUCCCUGUUUGGUGUGUUCGCAGUCGGGUUUCAACGUGGAUUUCGUACAUGUAUGUGUAUGCAUGCAUGUUCCUAUCCUACUUGUAGACCCUUCUUCUUUCUCUCACGAUUGCUGUGAUGUCCCUUCCAUCGAUCGAAGAAGCUUGCCGUCCUUUCAUCAUCUUCUGGCACUGUUUUACUUCCUAAUGUCCAGAUUCUCCUUGUUUCCAUUUCCCCACGUCACCAACCAGAGAUGUCUAUGGCAGUGGUACUGCUUUACAGUUCCGACAGUCGUCGACACAUCACUCACCAAUGAGUCGGCGCGGCGGGUGAUCCUCAACAUUUUCAGCCUGUUCACCGUGACUCUUGUAACAGGAUGGAUGGUAUGCUCUCUUCUUCUGUUGCUUAUUCCUGGUUAGCUGAGCAAGAACCUCCGCUCUCAACAGCAAGGACGCUGAAGGAUGAGUCACCCUAACAUCAAAGAAUGUGUCUUACUGCCGAGUCCAGAAGCCCCUUGCACAGAUAUCCAGACGAGCCUCCGGACGCCGGUUAGUCGUGGCACCAGGGAGCGCUUCACCCUCGAGUGGGAGCAGAGGAGGCUCAAUUCGCACAUCGGGGAUGGCCGCAUCCAUGGCCUCGGCAAUCAGGUCACGCAGAGCAUUGUGCCGGAGAGUGGGGUACCCCCCAGUAGGGCACGUUGCCGCAUGAUCGACGCUGAGGUCCGCACCACACACGCACGAGCUUGGAAUGUCCCGCAAGGGCCAGCCAUAUCGUAAUGACAAUGCAUCAACAAACUCCACCUUGUUAAGAAUGAAGCCACUCUCUGCCAGGGGCUCAGCAGUCAGCCAGCUUGAAACCCCAGGGUCAGCAGCACAUUCCACCAGCAACCUCUGCUGAUUGCACAGCCCCAGGGACAUGUCCGCCUGCAACUGACGAUAUGCAGACGCACGCAACUUCUGCUCACCCCUGCGAAGAGCCCCUGCCUGAGCAAUAACGACGGCCGGUGGAGCAGCAUCAGAUUUGCACUCUAUCAUGUCCACAAUGGGCCGCGUCACCCUCAGACUCACUCUUCGCUGUUCACUGGCGUCCUGGGCAAUACUCGGGAGGGCGAGGCCACCGAACCUGACAGGCAGUGCCAACAGUUUGCAUUCAGUAUCCGACAGGCUGGGACGAUCAGUGAGGGCCGGAAUCAGGUCUCUUCCAAUGACACUAUCCAGUUCAUCAAAACACGCAGAUUCUGGGUCUUUGUGAGAUCGCAGAUGAUAGUGCCACUUCCCAUGCAGGCCUCUGGUAAAAGCACUGUAAGCCGCAUGUGGUUGCGUCCUGGCAAACGAUGCCAACGCACGUACCUCCUUACUCCACAAUGCCACAUGACGGCACAGACUUCCAGUUAUGUACUCCUGCGUGCCGAUUGCGCCACCCAGAUAACCGACACCAUCACUCCGUAUAUCAAUUGGUGUGUCAGCAAACAAGAUCCUUGCUUCCUCCUCCAAUCCAGGCUUGACUAGUAACUUAGUCUUAGCAGCAUUUGGAUUGUAUCCAUACUGUGGACCAAGGGAGGUGAUGUCACGCAAAAACGCAUGAACUGCCGACAGCCGACCACCAGCCUCGCCGUCAUCCGCAUACCAGCACUGCUGAAUAUCCGCGUGAUGUUGCCGAAGGUCACGAAUCAUAGGUGUCACUGCUAACGCGAACAUGGCCAUUGCCAAGGAAUCACCCUGACACGCGCCCUCCCGAGACAAAAUCAUGCCGCCGCCAGACAGAAAUAGCGGGAUGGGUGCACCAUAUGUAUUGGCAAUGAAGUUGGCCAUUGGAGGACAUAGGUGGCUGAUGUUAUGUAGAGCAGCUUUGCGAUUAAUUGCAUAAAAAUGCGUUGGACGCACCAAUCAGGAGAAUUGCCUCAGUCUCCACACUGGAAUAUUGAGACUGCACCGAGAUAGUGGCAGCCUCACAAGCCGAGGGAAUGUCAACACAUAGCCCCCCCCUCCCCCCCCCCCCCAUCCUCUUCCCUUGCUCUUCCGACAGCCAAACGUCGCUAUGGUUUAUUUUCUGUCACUUUCCUUGGCUCUGACCGCUGGAAUGCCCUCCCAGCGGAGGUCCGCUCAAGUUCUUCCUUGCAUACCUUCCGUAAUUCUGUUCUUCAUUUUUUAGGGUACCCUGUCAAAAGGCCUUAGGCCUGUGGGGAUUGCCCUAUCAAAAAUUUAAUAAUAAUAAUAAUGUAGAAAGGAAAAGGACAUAUGGAUACGAGUUAAGAGUAACUCUCCAUCACUGUAACUGGAUACUAUAUACAGUCAGAAAGUGCAAUAACUAGGCACAAAACUGACAAGAGUACUGAGACAUUCGACGUCCUGACACCUAGCUUCAACACAU